rnacentral:pre_miRNA from 1 species
AGUGGAAUUGCUGGGGCAUAUAGUCAGUUUAUGUUUAACUUUUUAAUGAACCUGCCAAACUCUUUCCCAAACUGGCCGUGUCAUAUUGCAAUCCCAUCAGCAU